UGGGGAAUAUUGGACAAUGGGCGAAAGCCUGAUCCAGCAACGCCGCGUGAGGGAUGACGGCCUUCGGGUUGUAAAGCCCUUUUGUUGGGAAAGAAAUCCAGCCGGCUAAUACCUGGUUGGGAUGACGGUACCCAAAGAAUAAGCAACGGCUAACUUCGUGCCAGCAGCCGCGGUAAUACGAAGGGUGCAAGCGUUACUCGGAAUUACUGGGCGUAAAGCGUGCGUAGGUGGUUAUUUAAGUCCGUUGUGAAAGCCCUGGGCUCAACCUGGGAACUGCAGUGGAUACUGGAUGACUAGAAUGUGGUAGAGGGUAGCGGAAUUCCUGGUGUAGCAGUGAAAUGCGUAGAGAUCAGGAGGAACAUCCAUGGCGAAGGCAGCUACCUGGACCAACAUUGACACUGAGGCACGAAAGCGUGGGGAGCAAAC
rnacentral:rRNA from 1 species